rnacentral:rRNA from 1 species
CCUACGGGAGGCAGCAGUGAGGAAUAUUGGUCAAUGGGCUUACGCCUGAACCAGCCAAGUCGCGUGAGGGAAGACUGCCCUAUGGGUUGUAAACCUCUUUUGUCAAGGGACAAAAUCAGGCUCGAGAGCCUGACCGAGGGUACUUGAAGAAAAAGCAUCGGCUAACUCCGUGCCAGCAGCCGCGGUAAUACGGAGGAUGCGAGCGUUAUCCGGAUUUAUUGGGUUUAAAGGGUGCGUAGGCGGGCAUUUAAGCCGGCGGUCAAAUGUCGGGGCUCAACCCCGGCCUGCCGUCGGAACUGGGUGCCUUGAGUGGGCGAGAAGUAUGCGGAAUGCGUGGUGUAGCGGUGAAAUGCAUAGAUAUCACGCAGAACCCCGAUUGCGAAGGCAGCAUACCGGCGCCCGACUGACGCUGAGGCACGAAAGUGCGGGUAUCGAACAGGAUUAGAUACCCGAGUAGUC